AAUGGUUCUAGGCUUGGUCCCAAGUCAUGUCACAAUGGCAGGGGAAGGCCAGGGAGCAAGAAAUUCACCUACUAAUUGUUGAAAGGCAGUGCAGAGCAUGGCUGAAGAUGAAGGCUUGCAGCCAGACCACCUGGGUUUGUAUACCAAUCCUGACACUUCCUAACCAGACAUGCUGUAGCUCCUCCUGUGGCUUCCUCAAGAGUGAACUAUCCUGAGCCCUGGCCUCAUCACUCAGACCUCCAGCCCUGGCAACCAUCAGGACCCAGACAUGGCUAACAGAGACCUACCAGUUCUCCAGGCCCUUUCUUUCUCCCUUUUGCUCUCAUGUGCUUUCAUUUAAAAUAUCUCAGAUUCAUCAGUUCCAUUCACCCAUCUUUUUCCCACAGAUCCCCUGAAUAAAGGAGAAGCAGACACUGUU